GGGAAUACUGCAAAGCUAGGGAGUGGGAGAGGUAGACGGUACUCGGUAGGAAGGGGUAAAAUCCUUUGAUCUAUUGAUGACCACCUGUGGCGAAGGCGGACUACCAGAACACGUCCGACGGUGAGUGAUGAAAGCUGGGGGAGCAAACCGGAUUAGAUACCCGGGUAGUCCCAGCCGUAAACCAUGCAAACUCAGUGGUGCAUUGGCUUGUGGCCAAUGCAGUGCUGCAGGGAAGCCGUUAAGUUUGCCGCCUGGGAAGUACGUACGCAAGUAUGAAACUUAAAGGAAUUGGCGGGGGAGCUCCACAAGGGGUGAAGCCUGCGGUUCAAUUGGAGUCAACGCCAGAAAUCUUACCCGGAGAGACAGCAGAAUGAAGGUCAAGCUGAAGACUUUACCAGACAAGCUGAGAGGUGGUGCAUGGCCGUCGCCAGCUCGUGCCGUGAGAUGUCCUGUUAAGUCAGGUAACGAGCGAGAUCCCUGCCUCUAGUCGCCACCAUUACUCUCAGGAGUAGUGGGGCGAAUUAGCGGGACCGCCGCAGUUAAUGUGGAGGAAGGAAGGGGCCACGGCAGGUCAGUAUGCCCCGAAACUCUGGGGCCACACGCGGGCUGCAAUGGUAGUGACAAUGGGCCCCGAAUCCGAAAGGAGGAGGUAAUCCUCAAACACUACCACAGUUAUGACUGAGGGCUGCAACUCGCCCUCACGGAUAUGGAAUCCCUAGUAACUGCGUGUCAUUAUCGCGCGGUGAAUACGUCCCUGCUCCUUGCACUCACCGCCCGU
rnacentral:rRNA from 1 species